UGGUUCCUUAGUACAGAGGGCUAGCU
rnacentral:piRNA from 1 species